UAGUAUUUAGACACAAGAUUUCCUCUUCACUUGCCAUUCACUUUCGUUCUCCAUCCUGCUUGAACUCUUGCCAUCUCCAACCUGCAAGGUAAUAUAUUAGAGGAAUAAAACACGUUUUCUUAUUGGGUUGUGUCCUAUUUUCUACAAGACAUGUACAAAUUCAUGGAUUGUUUUUCUCUCAUUCUGCACGAGUAUUCAAUAGUUUAUUCAUGCAAUUUCUUACCACUCUUUUGUCUCCAAACUAAUAGUUUAUUCAUGCAAUUUCUUACCACUCCUUUGUCUCCAAACUACAGGUUUUCACAACAUCUCAUGGGAGCAUUAAAGGAAUCACACGAGCAACAUGAAGGCACAACAAAAGAAUACAACAAUUAGAAUAUUUCCCAAAAAUUUACAUUUUCUUUUGAAAUUUGUAAAUAUAGUUUAACAUGCAGAAUCAUCAUAAAAUUAAGGGUCAAUAACAUAAAAUGGAAAUCUAUUUAAACACCAAUUUAAAAAAGAAAACCAACAAAAUUUCUACCGGUGCUUGCAUGCUAUUUAGGAAUGAUUGAUGAUUUACAACACCAAAAAUCCAAAAAGGUACAUAAAAGCAUGCAGAAACUUAUUAAAUAAAUAGAUCAAUGAGGUGGUUUUUCUUUCCUUCUUACUAUUUAUACUGAAAAGCAAAAACAAUUAAACCUUGAUAAGAAUGAUCAGAAACUUAUUAAACAAGGCAUGAAGUCGUGAACAAAAUUUACUUUAGCUUUAUUACAUAAAUAUGGGCCAGACAUAAUACUACACACACUCUAGCAUUGUGAUUGGCAAAUAAAGAGAAUGUUUGUAAUCUUAUAUGUAAUAAUGGAAAAGGUAUCAAUCAAUUUUUUAAACAUGAAUUGUGAGUAGAAUAAUUUGAUGCAGUCUUAAAUGUCUUCCAGUCAAUUUUCACAAAAUAAACAACUAUUGCUUCAGCGAAAGGGAAGUGAGGUUUCCAGUUUGUGACUCCACAUGUCUAUUAACUUAGUACAAUAAAACAAUACUUCUUAAUUAGAACAAAGAGAGUUGUAUUAUAGAAUUCAUGCUAUAUUCUUUGUUCAUUAUCAAUGCAAUAAAAUUCAAGUUACAAUUA